rnacentral:rRNA from 1 species
UCUGGUGAUAGUAGCGGUGUGGAACCACCUCUUCCCAUUUCGAACAGAGAAGUGAAACAUAUCAGCGCCGACGAUACUUAUUCCAAUGGGAAUCGGGAAAAUAGGUCAUCGCCAGUA